rnacentral:rRNA from 1 species
UACGAAGGUGGCUAGCGUUGUUCGGAAUUACUGGGCGUAAAGCGCGCGUAGGCGGUCAUGCAAGUCAGGGGUGAAAUCCCACAGCUUAACUGUGGAACUGCCUUUGAAACUGCAUGGCUAGAAGAUGAGAGGGGAUAGCGGAAUUCCUAAUGUAGAGGUGAAAUUCGUAGAUAUUAGGAGGAACACCGGUGGCGAAGGCGGCUAUCUGGCUCAUUCUUGACGCUCUGGCGCGAAAGCGUGGGGAUCAAACAGG